rnacentral:rRNA from 1 species
GAUGAACGCUAGCGGCAGGCUUAAUACAUGCAAGUCGAGGGGCAGCACGAAUAGCAAUAUUUGGUGGCGACCGGCGCACGGGUGCGUAACACGUAUACAACCUACCUAUAACAGGGGGAUAGCCUUUCGAAAGAGAGAUUAAUACCCCGUAAUAAAUUGAGUGGCAUCACUUGAUUUUGAAAGCUACGGCGGUUAUAGAUGGGUAUGCGUCCUAUUAGCUAGUUGGUGAGGUAACGGCUCACCAAGGCGACGAUAGGUAGGGGAUCUGAGAGGACUAACCCCCACACUGGUACUGAGACACGGGACCAGACUCCUACGGGAGGCAGCAGUAAGGAUAUUGGUCAAUGGAGGCAAACUCUGAACCAGCCCAUGCCGCGUGCAGGAUGACGGCCCUAUGGGUUGUAAACUGCUUUUUGUACCAGAGAAAACCUACUCACGUGUGAGUAGCUGAUAGUAUGGUAAGAAUAAGCAU